rnacentral:rRNA from 1 species
CAUAUCAAUAAGCGGAGGAAAAGAAACUAACAAGGAUUCCCCUAGUAACUGCGAGUGAACCGGGAAAAGCUCAAAUUUAAAAUCUGGCAGCCUUGGCUGUCCGAGUUGUAAUCUGGAGAAGCGUCUUCCGCGCUGGACCGUGUACAAGUCUCCUGGAACGGAGCGUCAUAGAGGGUGAGAAUCCCGUCUUUGACACGGACUACCAGUGCUCUGUGAUGCGCUCUCAAAGAGUCGAGUUGUUUGGGAAUGCAGCUCAAAAUGGGUGGUAAACUCCAUCUAAAGCUAAAUAUUGGCGAGAGACCGAUAGCGAACAAGUACCGUGAGGGAAAGAUGAAAAGCACUUUGGAAAGAGAGUUAAACAGUACGUGAAAUUGCUGAAAGGGAAACGCUUGAAGUCAGUCGCGUUUGCUAGGACUCAGCCUUGCCUCGGCUUGGUGCAUUUCCUAGUAGACGGGCCAGCAUCACUUUUGGCUGCGGGAAAAAGGUUAGAGGAAUGUGGCACCCUCGGGUGUGUUAUAGCCUCUAGCUGUAUACCGUGGCUGGGAGUGAGGAACUCAGCACGCCUUCUGGCGGG